rnacentral:rRNA from 1 species
CUAGAGGAGCCUGUUCUAGAACCGAUAACCCCCGUUCAACCUCACCACCUCUUGUUUUCCCCGCCUAUAUACCACCGUCGUCAGCUUACCCUGUGAAGGCCCGAUAGUAAGCAAAAUGGGUAAAACCCAA